UAUUAAAAAUUUCAUCAAUUUCUACUAUUAAAAACUGGCGUGGCUAACUAAAUAACCAAACAAUUACACGAGGUGUGCCACAUGUACCUCAUUCUAACAUAUAGCGACUAGUUUUUAAUAGUAGAAAUGGAUGAAAUUAUUAAUA
rfam:Gossypium raimondii Chr09_contig_1800, whole genome shotgun sequence.